rnacentral:rRNA from 1 species
ACUUACGGCCAUACCACCCUGAAUGCGCCCGAUCUCGUCUGAUCCUGAAAGCUAAGCAGGGUCAGGCCUGAUUAGUACUUGGAUGGGAGACCGCCUGGGACUACCAGGUGCUGUAAGCU